GAUUCUCCUGCCUCGGCCUCCCGAGUAGCCGGGACUACAGGACCAGCUUGAAGUGUUUCAGGACACUUCUCUCUGUGUGUGCCUCUUGAUUUUGUUCAGAAGCCCAGUACUAUGGAAUACUCUAUCGCAGUGAUAAUUAACUACUCGAUAUGCAAAACACAGACAAAUCUCACAAACAUAAUGUGGAGCAAAAGAAGCCAGAAACAGAAGAGUACUGUGAAAUCCCAUUUAUGUCAAGCUCAAAACCAGGCAAGACCAAUCUGUGAUGUUAGAAGUCAGGAUAGUGGUCCCUUUGUUGGUGGUUGUGGCUGGGAGGGGCUAGAGGGCUCCAGGAGUGCUGGUAAUGCACUAAUUCUUUGUCUGGGUGCUGUUUACACAAUGUGGACAUACUGGGCUGUCCAUUUAUGAUCUGUGCACAUUUCUGUACGUAUGCUGUAUUUCAAUCAAAAGUCUCAAAAAAAAAAAAAAAAAAGAGAGAGAAAGAGAGAAACCAGAAUGUAAUCUUGUGAAAUAAGUAGUCACAGGAAGUAUGAACUAUGUGCCAACCAAAAUAAGCCUCUGAGGAUUGGUGAGGCUGGAGAACAGUAUCAUAGGGCUAAGAGUCAGAGAACCUGAUUUCCAGUCCCACUUCUGUUAUUCACUGGCAAAAGGAUGCUGGAAACUUAGCUCCCCUCAACUCAUAACAGCCAGUGAUUAAAUGAAGGCCUUCAGGAAAAUCUAAAGAUGUUCCCCAUUCCAUGCCUUGCCAGGAAAGGUUAAGGAUCCCAGCUGAAGACCAAACACGAAGAAACUUGGAUGACUAGUAACAAUCUCAUGUUUGUAUAAUGCUUCCCACUCCCAAAGCACUUUCAUAAUCAUUAUGCCAUUUGAUUUUUCAUAAUAAGAUCAGGAACGCAGGCUCUAGGGCCAGACUGGCUGGGUUGGAAUCCUAGCUCCAUCUGUUGCUAGCUGCUUGACCUUGGGCACAUCGUCCCUCUGCCUCAGUUUCCUUAUCUGCAAAACAGGGACAUGAGGGGAUUCAAUGAAUUUAACAUGAAAAACAUUUACAAUGAUGCCUACCACAAAGUUAUCAUUUGAUAAAUGUUAGUUAAAACAGGAACAAAAGUCCAGAUAGUGUUAUCUAGAUUUUAUAGCUGAAGAAACUGAGGCUCACAGGUUAUCACAAGACUAAUUCACAGCAGAUCCAGAACUGAAACCCAGGCCUUCUGGGUUACAACACUGACUUGUUAGGUUAUCUGGAAUAAUCUAAAUGGACUUGUCUAUUUUUAUGUGAUAAUAAUAAUAACAAUAAUAACAAUAACACUACCUUUUACUGAGUACUCACUAAGUGUUUUACAUACUAUGUCUCAUUUAAUCCUCAUAAGAAUCUAUGAGGCACGUGUUGUUAUCCCCAUUUUAAAAAGGGACAAACUGAGGACUAAACAUUGAGAAAGCAAACCUGGAUCACCCAGCUAGUGACAGGGAAGGCCAGAUUCUGAAUGCAGGUCUCUGCAAACCCAGGACCUGCGUUUUCAACCACUUACAUUCCAUAACCUCUGGAUAGAAAAAGACCACCAUGGUUACUGCUUUAUAAACAUUUGGGGGUUUCUGGGACAAAUUGGGUGAUUUUUGUAAGUUCCCCAAGGUCAGAAAGAGCCCUUCUUAUCCAUCUUUCAUCCUUCUCCUGUGCAUCAGGUACUGGACCUCCAUAGGUGUCCCAGAGGCUCCCAUGGAAGGAUUUGCAAAUCAGGUUCCAAGAGCUUAAAAAGCCAGGCUUAGUAGUGGAGAGGCACCAGAUGAACUCUUGAUAGCCCAGGCAAGAACUGGGCACCAGCAGCAUUACUUGAUGGUGUCAAAGAGGUAGAGGACCAAAUGCCAGGAUGCAGAGGGAGCCAUGGUGCCUGGACACAGAGACUUUGCCACAGCUAUCAAGUUUGCAAAAUGAAAACAAAGGGAGAGAUUAAUGAGACUCCACCUAGAAGCAGCCACUCCUGGACAGGCUGCCCUUCCUAGAUGGCUUCAGAUGGCUGCCAGGGAACAUCUGCCUGGUUAAGAUUUCAAGUGAAGACCUAAUCGAAGCAGCCCUUUGGCAGGCUUUGCACUGGCCGGCCUGACUCUGACAUACGCUCCGAUGCCCACACAUGGUUGUGGCUGGCAGCUCAGACAGACACGACUGUUUUGGCUUCUGUCAUUUCUUUUUCUUCCUCCAGGCGCUCAAGUUCUUGAUCCCAGCUCGCCUGAUUAGGGGUCGUCAUCAGUCCGCGCACCCUGCCUGUACUUCCUGGGGCCCCCUGGUGGAUGAUCAAAGGAUAAAGGGAUAGUUGGAGGCAGGAAAGAGAGAGUUGGGGAUGAUAGUGCAGUGGACUGUGUGGAUCUUUCCCCAUAGGCUUCUAAGAAGUCUUUUGUGAAUAUCUCUCUCGUCCCCCACUGGGUGAAUGAUUUACUAUGACUAAAGGGGCCACACACACAACAGCUCUCACCCUGGAAUGGACUUUGAGAGGGAAGCAAAAGGAAGCAUUGCCUUCUUUCCUGGACUUCCCUUUGGAGCACCCCACAACUCUCAGGGGAUUUAGAAGGUAACACAUUUAGAGCUUUCCCAAAAGAAUGUGCAGCUGUGGCUUGAGCAAAAGGUGUUUACUCCCACGGAGGUGGGAUUUUUAUUGCUAGUUUCAACAUCAAGUAGGUGUGAAAGUUAUAUACAAAUCCUGACAAUCAAUACCACCUGAGAAAGGCGAGAAAGAGGGCUGCAUGGGCCAAUGCUUCACAAACUUAAGGUGCACAGCUUGGAAGCAUUGAAUUGUGGGGGGUGGGGAUCUUGUAAAGUGAAGAUUCUGAAUGAGUAGGUGUGGGGUAUGGCCCACAGUCUGUGUUUCCAACAUGCUUCUGCCACAGGAAGACUGCUCUGGACUAAGAAAUAGUCCUGUGCAUUUCUUAGCACCAACGCUCACCUCCCCCCACCAAAAACAUGAAAUAAAACAAAACAGGGACAUUGCAUUUCCUGGAAGUGUCUUACAUGACACCAAUUAAAACUAUCUUUUUUUCUUGCUCAUAAAUAUAUUCUUUUUCCUUUUUUUUGAGACGGAGUCUCUCUUUUUUGCCCAGGCUGGAGUGCAGUGGUGUGAUCUCAGCUCACUGCAACCUCCGCCUUCCAGGUUCAAGCAAUUCUCCUGCCUCAGCCUCCUGAGUAGCUGGGAUUACAGGAGUGUGCCACCACACUCGGCUAAUUUUUUGUAUUUUUAGUAGAGAUGGGGUUUCACUAUGUUGGCCAGACUGGUCUUGAACUCUUGACCUCAAGUGAUCCACCUGCCUCGGCCUCCCAAAGUGCUAAGAUUAUAGGCGUGAGCCACUGUGUCUAGCCUAGAAAUGUAUUCUUUUUUUUUUUUUUGAGAUGGAGUUUCGCUCUGUCGCCCUGGCUGGAGUGCAGUGGUGCCAUCUCGGCUCACUGCAACCUCUGCCUCCUGGGUUCAAGUGAUUCUCCUGCCUCAGCCUCCCGAGUAGCUGGGACUACAGGCGUGCACCACUACACCCAGCUAAUUUUUGUAUUUUUAGUAGAGAUGGGGUUUCUCCCAGCUAAUUUUUGUAUUUUUAGUAAAGAUGGAGUUUCACCAUGUUGGUUGGCCAGGAUGGUCUCGAUCUCUUGACCUCGUGAUCCACCCGCCUCAGCCUCCCAAAGUGCUGGGAUUACAGACAUGAGCCACCGCGCCCAGCCAAAACUUAUUCUAAAAGGUUUGACUGAUGUACAUAAAAAUCACUGGAAAACAUAGUUAUAGGUAAAUUUUAUUAUUUCUUUGUGUUUUUCUACAUUUCCCAAACUUUCUACAAAUGAACCUAUAUUGUUUUUAUUUUUCUCGAAGGCUAAGUUUGAAACAUCUUGUGUUGUUUCAAGACCUUUCUUUUCCCCCGGUGCUAGCUAGACCAGAAUGGAUUGUUUAACAUCUCAGGGCAGAUGUCUGAACCUUUGCAGGUGUUGGGAGACUCAGAAUCUUCUGGUGUUGAGGAGACCAAGCUUGGUCAGGUCGGGACCAUGUUGAAUCACUGUUUAACACUGAAGGAAGGCCAGGGAAGGCCUGUGAGGGACACGCAGUCUCUGCCUCCUGAGGUCAUGCUGAUCGCUUGCUGGCCCAAGUCUAAUUUAUUUUAGUUUCUAUGUCUGUGAACAAGGCCAAUGUGCAUGAAUGAUGGUCUGGCAUCUCGAUCCAUGUUUACAAAUCAAUGAGCAGACCACCUAAAUCAGUGAACUGUGCAUUUUAUAGAUGAGAAAAGGCAAGUUGGGGGAAAGAGACUGGAGAGGGUGGUGGUAAUUAUAGAAAUGAGACUUUCAUAACUCAAGUUUCCAUCCCAUGGCGUUUUCUUUAAAUAAGGGAUUCCCAAUCUUCAGAAGCACUAGUGCAGUAUAACUUUGGAUAAACACAGUUCUGUCUUAUCAGCACAUUGUUUUGUAUUCAAUAGGUACUCAAUGUUUAAUAUGUUAUAAAAUAUAAUUUUUGAAUACAUUUUUUUUCUGUGAUGGUCGGAGCACACAGCACAGAGCAAUUUUAGGAAAUUGCCAUGCUUUCCAAUAGUAGCUAUAAGCUUUGUGUAUCCAGUCACCCAGGACCUAUUUGUUAGAUAGGAUAAAAGAACAUUGAAGUGACAAGAUUUGACAGAAAAUCUAGGCAAUACCAUUCAGGACAUAGGCAUGGGCAAAGACUUCAUGACUAAAACACCAAAAGCAAUUGCAACAAAAGCAAAAAUUGACAAAUGGGAUCUAAUUAAACUAAAGAGCUUCUGCUCAGCAAAAGAAACUAUCAGAGUAAACAGGGAACCUACAAAAUAGGAGAAAAUAUUUGCAAUCUGACCAAGGUCUAGUACCCAGAAUCUACAAGGAACUUAAACAAAUUUACAGGAAAAAAACAAGCAAGCCCAUCAAAAAGUGGGCGAAGGAUAUGAACAGAUACUUUUCAAAGGAAGAAAUUUAUGCAGCCAACAAAUAUAUAAAGAAAAACUCAUCAUCACUGGUCAUUAGAGAAAUGCAAAUCAAAACAACAAUGAGAUAUCAUCUCGUGCCAGAUAGAAUGGCGAUCAUUAAAAAGUCUGGAAACAAUAGAUGCUGGUGAGGCUGUGGAGAAAUAGGAACACUUUUACACUGUUGGUGGGAGUGUAAAUUAGUUCACCCAUUGUGGAAGACAGCGUGGCAAUUCCUCAAGGAUCUAGGACCAGAAAUACCAUUUGACCCAGCAAUCUCAUUACUGGGUAUAUACCCAAAGGAUUAAAAAUCAUUCUACUAUAAAGACACAUGCACACGUAAUGUUUAUUGCAGCACUAUUUACAAUAGCAAAGACUUGGAACCAACCCAAAUGCCCAUCAAUGAUAGACUGGAUAAAGAAAAUGUGGCACAUACAUACCAUGGAAUACUAUGCAGCCGUAAGAAAGAAUGAGUUCAUGUCCUUUGCAGGGACAUGGAUGAAGCUGGAAACCGUCAUCCUCAGCAAACUAACACAGGAACGGAAAACCAAACACCACGUGUUCUCACUCAUAAGUGAGAGUUGAACAAUGAGAACACAUGGACACAGGGAGGGGAACAUCACACACCGGGGUCUGUUGGGGAGCGGUGGACAAGGGGAGAGAGAGCAUUAGGACAAAUACCUAAUGCAUGCUGGGCUUAAAACCUGGAUUAUGGGUUGAUAGGUGCAGCAAACCACCACGGCACAUGUAUACCUAGGUGACAAAGCUGCACGUUCAGCACAUGUAUCCCAGAACUUAAAGUAAAAUUAAAAAAAAAAAAAAAAGAACAUUGAAGUGACAAGAUUUGGGAGGACUGAAACAAAACAGACUACAAGGAACAGGAGAAAAGGGACAAUUGUAAGAGUGGUAAUAUUCUUUUAUAUUUAUGCACGUAAGAUGGCUGUACUGGUUUCAAGCAUCUGACUUUUAAUAUUUGAAGAAAUAAAAUUCUUGCUUAGGUCCUUCCACCCGCUGUUCAAGAUUGAAGAUUGACCUUCUGUUACCAUCUUAGCUGAUCUGUCUGCUGCUGCCUUUUUGCUUGUCCUACUCAGUUUUAAGUAAUUUUCAUCCUUCAUGCUCUGGGCUGCAAAAAUAAAUAUAAGCAACA